ACUCCUACGGGAGGCAGCAGUGGGGAAUUUUCUGCAAUGGGCGAAAGCCUGACGGAGCAAUGUCGCGUGGAGGUGGAAGGCCCACGGGUCGUCAACUUCUUUUCUCGGAGAAGAAACAAUGACGGUAUCUGAGGAAUAAGCAUCGGCUAACUCUGUGCCAGCAGCCGCGGUAAU
rnacentral:rRNA from 1 species